CGUUCUUUCUAUUUCGAAAAUCUCGUAAUUUGGGUGUAUGUAUGAUUGAACUAGAGGCUCUAAAGAGCCUGUGUCGCUCACCUUGGUCUAUGUGAAUAUUAAACAAAGGAAGAAGAUGCAUUCAUGACAAAAUUGUGUUUUGGUGAUGAUGAUGUGUUUGUACAUCUUACUUUACUGAACAUUCUUGCUGCUUACAAUUAUCUCUAUCUAUAAUGAACUUGGCCCAGUAGUUUCAGUAAAAAAUGUUAGUAAAAAUUUACAAAUUUUAUGAAAAUUGUUAUAAAUUGACUAUAAAGGACAAUAACUCCUUAGGGGGUCAAUUGACCAUUUUGGUCAUGUUGACUUAUUUUUAGGUCUUAUUUACAUUAUUGCUGUUUACAGUUUAUCUCUAUCUAAAAUAAUAUUCAAGAUAAUAACAGAAAACGGCAAAAUUUCCUUAAAAUUACCAAUUCAGAGGCAGCAACCCAAC
rnacentral:lncRNA from 1 species